GGGCGCGGCAGCUGUCCGGAC
rnacentral:siRNA from 1 species